CAGGAUGUGGCUCAGUUUAUGGCUGCUGGCUCCUUAGGCCACUGGACCAACCCAGUGUCUCCAGAUGGGGUGCCCCAAAGCACCGUUUCCCAAUUCCGUCUGGGUUUACAUGAGCUCGGGCUUUGGCUGUGAAUGGAUGGUAAAAGGCUGGAGGGAAGACCUGUCAGCUGAGAGGGAAAACAGCAAGAGCUGCGUGGCGGUGGCCGAAGAGUAGGAAUCUCCCGAAAUCAUCCAUACAGGCAGGAUCAUGGGAAAGGGGAGCCUGUGUACAAUAUUUGCCUUCACCUGUCUGUACUUCUACCAACAGAGCAUCUAGGUGCGGAAUCACGUUGCCCUCCAGUGGCUGCAGCUCAUGGCGACAGCAGGAGGAAUUCUGGGGUCCCUGGCUGUCCCCUAAAGUCCGAUGUUUGUUUGAAGGUUCUGGAAAUGGGCCUCAGUGCUGCUCAUCAACCUCCCCAUCCCACUUCAUCAGGCUACCUACUACCCUAAUAUGUUACCUAUGGGAAGGGAAUCUUGCUCAAAACUUGGGACAUCUUCAUUCCUUGACUAUCAAAUUCUCCCCUUCGUGCAUUUUUAAUGGAAAUUUUAAAUGA
rnacentral:lncRNA from 1 species